UACGUAGGGUGCAAGCGUUGUCCGGAAUUAUUGGGCGUAAAGAGCUCGUAGGCGGUUCGUCGCGUCGGCUGUGAAAACCUGAGGCUCAACCUCAGGCCUGCAGUCGAUACGGGCGGACUUGAGUACUGCAGGGGAGACUGGAAUUCCUGGUGUAGCGGUGAAAUGCGCAGAUAUCAGGAGGAACACCGGUGGCGAAGGCGGGUCUCUGGGCCGUAACUGGACGCUGAGGAGCGAAAGCAUGGGGAGCGAACAGG
rnacentral:rRNA from 1 species